UGGGGAAUAUUGCACAAUGGAGGGAACUCUGAUGCAGCGACGCCGCGUGAACGAAGAAGGCUUUCGAGUCGUAAAGUUCUUUUAUAUGGGAAGAUAAUGACGGUACCAUAAGAAAAAGCCCCGGCUAACUACGUGCCAGCAGCCGCGGUAAUACGUAGGGGGCUAGCGUUGUCCGGAAUCACUGGGCGUAAAGGGUUCGCAGGCGGAAAUGUAAGUCAGGUGUAAAAGGCAGUAGCUUAACUACUGUAAGCAUUUGAAACUGCAUAUCUUGAGAAGAGUAGAGGUAAGUGGAAUUUUUAGUGUAGCGGUGAAAUGCGUAGAUAUUAAAAAGAAUACCGGUGGCGAAGGCGACUUACUGGGCUCAUUCUGACGCUGAGGAACGAAAGCGUGGGUAGCAAACAGG
rnacentral:rRNA from 1 species